UACGUAGGGGGCAAGCGUUGUCCGGAUUUAUUGGGCGUAAAGAGCGUGUAGGCGGCCUGAAAGGUCAGCUGUGAAAACUCGAGGCUCAACCUCGAGACGUCGGGUUGAAACCAUCUGGCUAGAGUCCGGAAGAGGAGAGUGGAAUUCCCGGUGUAGCGGUGAAAUGCGCAGAUAUCGGGAAGAACACCCGUGGCGAAGGCGGCUCUCUGGGACGGUACUGACGCUGAGGCGCG
rnacentral:rRNA from 1 species